CCUCUACAGCUUGUUAAAUUGGUAGGAAUUUUGUGUUACUUCGUGAUUUGAGCUAUCGGGUUAUUUUAAUUCGAUAAUGGGUGACGAGGUGGUUGUUGGGAUUUUGUUGAAAGGUGAAGCAAGUUAAGGAGGAGCUGAAGAGAGAUGAAAAGGCGGUUGAAUUGCCAAUGGAGGUCAGGCGGAAGAUAACUGAUGAGGUUUUGCAGCGGUUGAGAAGCUUGA
rnacentral:misc_RNA from 1 species